UACGAAGGGGGCUAGCGUUGCUCGGAAUCACUGGGCGUAAAGGGUGCGUAGGCGGGUCUUUAAGUCAGGGGUGAAAUCCUGGAGCUCAACUCCAGAACUGCCUUUGAUACUGAGGAUCUUGAGUUCGGGAGAGGUGAGUGGAACUGCGAGUGUAGAGGUGAAAUUCGUAGAUAUUCGCAAGAACACCAGUGGCGAAGGCGGCUCACUGGCCCGAUACUGACGCUGAGGCACGAAAGCGUGGGGAAGCAACAGGGAUUAAGAAACCCUUG
rnacentral:rRNA from 1 species